GAUGAACGCUGGCGGCGUGCCUAAUACAUGCAAGUCGAGCGAACAGAUAAGGAGCUUGCUCCUUUGACGUUAGCGGCGGACGGGUGAGUAACACGUGGGUAACCUACCUAUAAGACUGGGAUAACUCCGGGAAACCGGGCCAAUGCCGGAUAACAUUUAGAACCGCAUGGUUCUAAAGUGAAAGAUGGUUUUGCUUUCACUUAUAGAUGGACCCGCGCCGUAUUAGCUAGUUGGUAAGGUAACGGCUUACCAAGGCAACGAUGCAUAGCCGAACUGAGAGGGUGAUCGGCCACACUGGAACUGAGACCAGGUCCAGACUCCUACGGGAGGCAGCAGUAGGGAAUCUUCCGCAAUGGGCGAAAGCCUGACGGAGCAACGCCGCGUGAGUGAUGAAGGUCUUCGGAUCGUAAAACUCUGUUAUUAGGGAAGAACAAAUGUGUAAGUAACUGUGCACGUCUUGACGGUACCUAAUCAGAAAGCCACGGCUAACUACGUG
rnacentral:rRNA from 1 species